GACGAACGCUGGCGGCGUGCUUAACACAUGCAAGUCGAACGGAAAGGCCCCCACCUUGGUGGGGGUGCUCGAGUGGCGAACGGGUGAGUAACACGUGGGUGAUCUGCCCUGUACUUCGGGAUAAGCUUGGGAAACUGGGUCUAAUACCGGAUAGGACCAUGGUUUAGUGUCUCAUGGUGGAAAGAUUAUUGUUUUGGUGCAGGAUGAGCUCGCGGCCUAUCAGCUUGUUGGUGGGGUAAUGGCCUACCAAGGCGUCGACGGGUAGCCGGCCUGAGAGGGUGGACGGCCACAUUGGGACUGAGAUACGGCCCAGACUCCUACGGGAGGCAGCAGUGGGGAAUAUUGCACAAUGGGCGCAAGCCUGAUGCAGCGACGCCGCGUGGGGGAUGACGGCCUUCGGGUUGUAAACUCCUUUCGUUAGGGACGAAGCCACAUUUUUUGGGUGUGGUGACGGUACCUUUGUUAAGAAGCACCGGCUAACUACGUGCCAGCAGCCGCGGUAAUACGUAGGGUGCGAGCGUUGUCCGGAAUUACUGGGCGUAAAGAGCUCUAGGUGGUUUGUUGCGUCGUCUGUGAAAUUCCGGGGCUUAACUUCGGGGUGGCAGGCGAUACGGGCAUAACUAGAGUGCUGUAGGGGAGACUGGAAUUCCUGGUGUAGCGGUGGAAUGCGCAGAUAUCAGGAGGAACACCGAUGGCGAAGGCAGGUCUCUGGGCAGUAACUGACGCUGAGGAGCGAAAGCAUGGGGAGCGAACAGGAUUAGAUACCCUGGUAGUCCAUGCUGUAAACGGUGGGCGUUAGGUGUGGGGACCGGUUUGGUUUCUGUGCCGUAGCUAACGCAUUAAGCGCCCCGCCUGGGGAGUACGGCCGCAAGGCUAAAACUCAAAGGAAUUGACGGGGGCCCGCACAAGCGGCGGAGCAUGUGGAUUAAUUCGAUGCAACGCGAAGAACCUUACCUGGGUUUGACAUGCACCAGACGGUUGUAGAGAUACGUACCUCCCUUUGUGGUUGGUGUGCAGGUGGUGCAUGGUUGUCGUCAGCUCGUGUCGUGAGAUGUUGGGUUAAGUCCCGCAACGAGCGCAACCCUUGUCUUAUGUUGCCAGCACUUUGGGUGGGGACUCAUGAGAGACUGCCGGGGUUAACUCGGAGGAAGGUGGGGAUGACGUCAAAUCAUCAUGCCCUUUAUGCCCAGGGCUUCACACAUGCUACAAUGGUUAGUACAACGCGCUGCGAACCUGUGAGGGUGAGCGAAUCGCUGAAAGCUAAUCUCAGUUCGGAUUGGGGUCUGCAACUCGACCCCAUGAAGUCGGAGUCGCUAGUAAUCGCAGAUCAGCAAUGCUGCGGUGAAUACGUUCCCGGGCCU
rnacentral:rRNA from 1 species